CGAACGUUAGUGUAAUGGAUAUCACGGAAGACUCCGACUCUUCAGAUAGGGGUUCGAUUCCCUUACGUUCGA
rnacentral:tRNA from 1 species